GAGUCUCCUGAAGGAACGUUGAAGACGACGACGUUGAUAGGCCGGAUGUGUAAGCGCAGCGAUGCGUUGAGCUAACCGGUACUAAUGAACCGUGAGGCUUAACCUUACAACGCCGAAG
rnacentral:rRNA from 1 species